rnacentral:rRNA from 1 species
CCCUUUCUGGUUGAUCCUGCCGGAGGUCACCGCUAUUGGGAUUCGAUUAAGCCAUGCGAGUCGAGAGGGUUCGGCCCUCGGCAGACCGCUCAGUAACACGUGGAUAAUCUGCCCUUAGGUGGAGGAUAAUCUCGGGAAACUGAGGAUAAUACUCCAUAGACCUAAGAUGCUGGAAUGCACUUAGAUUGAAAGCUCCGGCGCCUAAGGAUGAGUCUGCGGACUAUCAGGUAGUAGUCAGGGUAAUGGCCUGACUAGCCUACAACGGAUACGGGUUGUGAGAGCAAUAACCCGGAGACGAUAUCUGAGACACGAUAUCGGGCCCUACGGGGCGCAGCAGGCGCGAAACCUUCACACUGUGCGAAAGCGCGAUGAGGGAAUCCCAAGUGCUUGCACGUAAGUGUAAGCUGUUUCUUUGUUUAAAACGCAGAGAGAGGAAGGGCUGGGUAAGACGGGUGCCAGCCGCCGCGGUAAUACCUGCAGCUCAAGUGGUGACCGCUAUUAUUGGGCCUAAAACGUCCGUAGCCGGCUGAGUAAAUGCUUGGGUAAAUCGUGCCGCUUAACGGUACGAAUUCCGGGUACACUGCUUGGCUUGAGAUCGGGAGAAGCUAGAGGUACUCCUGGGGUAGAGGUGAAAUUCUGUAAUCCUGGGGGGACCACCAGUGGCGAAGGCGUCUAGCUAGAACGAGUCUGACGGUGAGGGACGAAACCCUGGGGCGCAAACCGGAUUAGAUACCCGGGUAGUCCAGGGCGCAAACGCUGCUUGCUUGAUGUUAGCUGGGCUCCGAGCUCAGCUAGUGUCGGAGAGAAGUUGUUAAGCAAGCUGCCUGGGAAGUACGAUCGCAAGAUUGAAACUUAAAGGAAUUGGCGGGGGAGCACAGCAACGGGUGGAGCGUGCGGUUUAAUUGGAGUCAACGCCGGG